rnacentral:lncRNA from 1 species
AUGGGCACAUUUUCCACUGAAAAAGAGAAUUUUGAACACCUUCGUCAACAUUUGAAAAAGCAGGAAACUGUCUCCUGUGUUUUCAAAAAUUGCAGUUUCAAAACUAAUAUUUAUGGAACAUUUGCUUCACAUAGAAAUCGCAAGCAUACUCCCCACUCAUUAGAUGAGUUUAAAGAUGACGUUUUAAAGAGGUAUGAAAACCCUUCGCAAACAGAUCAGUGCAGUGAUUUAGUUAAUCAGGAAGGUGAACAGUCUGACAUUGAUGAGUUUAGAGAUGAUGAUGUAAAAGUACUGCCAAAGUUGAUUGAAAGUAGCUUGGCUCGUUUGAUGUUGAAAUUAGAGAGUUCCUUUCAUGUUCCCAACCGAUGCAUUGAUGAGCUUGUAGAGGAGUUGCAUUUUAUUUCUCAUUCAGCCUCUGGUCCCAUCAUGAAAGACAUUUUACUGUCUUGCUUGAAGAGACACAACUGUGAAAUUGAUGAAGCCAUUGUGUCUGAAAUGGUGAACGACAUCUAUGGUGCUAACCCCAUUAGCUCUGCCCUCCGUGAUGGUGGUUCUCUUUCCUCUGCCUUCAAAAGAAGAAAGUAUUUUAAUGAACACUUUUCUGUCGUGGAACCGAUUGAGUAUAUUCUUAGUGGAGAGAGCAGCUUCCAGUAUGUCCCCAUUCUAAAGUCUUUACUUCAGGUUCUUAGCAGGAAAGAUAUACUCAACCUGAUCUUGAGUGAGGCAGAAGCUCAGAAAACUGUUUACAAGUCAUUUCAUGAUGGCACCUUUUACAAAACCAAUGAGCUGUUCUCAAAAAGUGACCUUACAAUUGCUCUCAAUCUCUAUGUGGAUGACUUUGAGAUUUGCAAUCCGCUUGGUACAUCCAGGAAAAAACACAAAAUCACAUCUGUGUAUUGGGUGUUAGCUGAUGUCCCCUCAUUGCUCAGAUCUGAACUAAACUCAAUCUUCUUAGCAAUUCUGUGCAGGGCUGAGGAUGUGAAGAGGUUUGGUUACAGUGUUGUGUUGGACCCACUGCUCAAAGAUCUUGUGUUCUUAGAGGAGGAAGGACUGUAUGUUCCAGAACUGGGCAGAAGAGUUAAAGGCACAGUGUUUAGCGUGGUUGCAGACAAUCUUGGUGCCCAUUCUAUAGGGGGAUUUGUUGAGAACUUUUCCGGUUCAUACGUCUGUCGAUUUUGUCUAGGUGAAAAGUCACAAUUUCAAGAUGGUGAAGUGAGAACAGGGGCAUUCCCACGCAGAACAAAAGAACAACACACACUGCAUGUUCAGACUUUACAGUAA